CUACGGGCGGCAGCAGUGAGGAAUAUUGCACAAUGGGGGGAACCCUGAUGCAGCAACGCCGCGUGGAGGAUGACGCAUUUCGGUGUGUAAACUCCUUUUAUAUGUCAAGAAAAUGACGGUAGCAUAUGAAUAAGCACCGGCUAACUCCGUGCCAGCAGCCGCGGUAAUACGGAGGGUGCAAGCGUUACUCGGAAUCACUGGGCGUAAAGGACGCGUAGGCGGGUUGGAAAGUCAGGUGUGAAAUCCUACAGCUUAACUGUAGAACUGCACUUGAAACUUCUAAUCUAGAGUAUGGGAGGGGGAGAUGGAAUUAGUGGUGUAGGGGUAAAAUCCGUAGAUAUCACUAGGAAUACCUAAAGCGAAGGCGAUCUCCUGGAACAUUACUGAGGCUAAGGCGUGAAAGCGUGGGGGGCAAACAGGAUUAGAUACCCCAGUAGUC
rnacentral:rRNA from 1 species